UACGUAGGCAGCGAGCGUUGUUCGGAAUUACUGGGCGUAAAGAGUGUGUAGGCGGUGCUCCCAGUCUGUUGUGAAAUCUCCCGGCUUAACUGGGAGGGUGCAGCGGAAACUAGAGUGCUAGAGGGUGGGAGAGGUAAGCGGAAUUCCUGGUGUAGCGGUGAAAUGCGUAGAUAUCGGAAGGAACGCCGGUGGCGAAAGCGACGGGCUGGACCUCUUCUGACGCUGAGGCGCGAAAGCCAGGGGAGCGAACGGG
rnacentral:rRNA from 1 species